GGCAAGAUGGCCGAGUGGUCUAAGGCGCUACGUUUAGGCUUAGUCAGCGUAUCCGUAGUCUUUCGGGGCGUGGGUUCAAAUCCCACUCUUGUCA
rfam:Schizophyllum commune H4-8 unplaced genomic scaffold SCHCOscaffold_7, whole genome shotgun sequence.